UCGAGAAUCUUCGGCAAUGGGCGAAAGCCUGACCGAGCGACGCCGCGUGCGGGAUGAAGGCCCUCGGGUUGUAAACCGCUGUCGUAGGGGAGGAAGGCUCCGUGAAGAGCGGGGUUUGACCUAUCCUAGGAGGAAGUACGGGCUAAGUUCGUGCCAGCAGCCGCGGUAAUACGAACCGUACAAACGUUAUUCGGAAUCACUGGGCUUAAAGGGUGCGUAGGCGGCCAUGUAAGUGAGGUGUGAAAUCCCUCGGCUCAACCGAGGAACUGCGCUUCAUACUGCAUGGCUUGAGGGAGACAGGGGUAAGCGGAACUGAUGGUGGAGCGGUGAAAUGCGUUGAUAUCAUCAGGAACACCGGUGGCGAAAGCGGCUUACUGGGUCUCUUCUGACGCUGAGGUACGAAAGCUAGGGUAGCGAACGGGAUUAGAUACCCCCGUAGUCC
rnacentral:rRNA from 1 species